ACUAAAUACCCUCUCCGAGCCUGUCCAACCUAAAUCCUUCAGAUGAAGGACACGGAGACAGGCCGAUAGGGUACCGCUGGAAACGGCGGUGCCUCCCGUGUUUGGAAAGGAGAGCGCUCAUGCUAACG
rnacentral:ncRNA from 2 species